GCCGGGGCUUCUUCUACGGCUACCGUCAUUAUCUUCACCGUUGAAAGAGCUUUACAACCCUAGGGCCGUCAUCACUCACGCGGCAUGGCUGGAUCAGGCUUGCGCCCAUUGUCCAAUAUUCCCC
rnacentral:rRNA from 1 species